rnacentral:rRNA from 1 species
AAGUCGUAACAAGGUCUCCGUAGGUGAACCUGCGGAGGGAUCAUUACCGAGUUAGGGCGUUCGCGCCCGAACCUCCAACCCUUUGUUGUCCGACCCGUUGCCUCGGGGGCGACCCCGCGAGGGGGCCCCCGGAGGACCUUACAAAACCUAUUUUAACCUGAACUCUGAGUAAAAACCACAAUUGAACAAAACUUUCAACAACGGAUCUCUUGGUUCUGGCAUCGAUGAAGAACGCAGCGAAAUGCGAUAAGUAAUGUGAAUUGCAGAAUUCAGUGAAUCAUCGAAUCUUUGAACGCACAUUGCGCCCCCUGGCAUUCCGGGGGGCAUGCCCGUUCGAGCGUCAUUACACCACUCAAGCCUCGCUUGGUAUUGAGGGCCGCGGCCUCGCCCGCGCCCUUUGAAUCCACCGGCUGGCCUCUGCGGUCCCCUAGCGUUGUGCAAACGUCCGCUUGGAGGGUCCGCGGCGACCACGCCGACCAAAAUUCUUCUCAAGGUUGACCUCGAAUCGGGUAGGGAUACCCGCUGAACUUAA